AGAUUGAACGCUGGCGGCAUGCUUUACACAUGCAAGUCGAACGGCAGCACGGGGGCAACCCUGGUGGCGAGUGGCGAACGGGUGAGUAAUGCAUCGGAACGUGCCUAGUAGUGGGGGGAUAACGCGUCGAAAGAUGUGCUAAUACCGCAUACGCACUAUGGUGGAAAGCGGGGGAUCGUAAGACCUCGCGCUAUAGAGCGGCCGAUGUCCGAUUAGCUAGGUUGGUGAGGUAAGGCCCACCAAGGCGACGAUCGGUAGCUGGUCUGAGAGGAUGAUCAGCCACACUGGGACUGAGACACCGGCCCAGACCUCCGUACGGGAGCAGCAGUGGGAUUUGGACAAGUGGGACGCAAGCCUGCUCCAGCCAUCGCGCGUGAGUGAAGACGGCCGUUCGGUUAGUAAGCGUCGUUUACCGG
rnacentral:rRNA from 1 species